GAUGAAGAACGUAGCGAAAUGCGAUACGUAAUGUGAAUUGCAGAAUUCAGUGAAUCAUCGAAUCUUUGAACGCAUAUUGCGCUCUCUGGUAUUCCGGAGAGCAUGCUUGUUUGAGUAUCAGUAAACACCUCAACUUCCAUAUCUUUUUUGAAAUGGGAGUUGGACUUGAGUGAUCCCAACGCUUUUCCUCACCGAAAAGUGGCGGGUUACUUGAAAUGCAGGUGCAGCUGGACUUUUCUCUGAGCUAUAAGCAUAUCUAUUUAGUCUGCCUAAACAGAUUAUUACCUUUGCUGCAGCUAACAUAAAGGAGAUUAGUUCUUGUGCUGACUGAUGCAGGAUUCACAAAGACGGCUUCGGCCGACUUUGUAAACUCGAUCUCAAAUCAAGUAAGACUACCCGCUGAACUUAAGCAUAUCAAUAAGCGGAGGA
rnacentral:misc_RNA from 1 species